GACGAACGCUGGCGGCGUGCCUAACACAUGCAAGUCAAGCUGUAGCAAUACAACUGGCGCACGGGUGAGUAACGCGUAGAUUAUCUGCCCCUAUCCCUGGCAUAACAUUGAGAAAUCGGUGAUAAUACCAGAUGAGGCACGAAAGUGUCAAAGCUUCGGCGGAUGGGGAUGAGUCUGCGUCUGAUUAGCUAGUUGGUGGAGUAAAAGCCCACCAAGGCGACGAUCAGUAGCUGGUCUGAGAGGACGAUCAGCCACACUGGAACUGAGACACGGUCCAGACUCCUACGGGAGGCAGCAGUGAGGAAUAUUGGUCAAUGGGGGAAACCCUGAACCAGCGACGCCGCGUGAAGGAUGAAGGGGCUUUGCCUCGUAAACUUCUGUCGGGAGGGAAGAAAAGCCGGGUUGCCCGGCUGGGACUGUACCUCUAAAGGAAGGGUCGGCUAACUACGUGUCAGCAGCCGCGGUAAUACGUAGGACCCAAGCGUUGUCCGGAUUUACUGGGUGUAAAGGGUGCGCAGGCGGAUUUGUGCGUCAGAGGUUAAAGACCCCGGCUUAACCGGGGAAGUGCCUUUGAUACGGCAGGUCUUGAGUGCGAGCGAGGAUGGUAGAAUUCCUGGUGUAGCGGUGAAAUGCGUAGAUAUCAGGAGGAAUACCCGUGGCGAAGGCGGCCAUCUGGCUCGAUACUGACGCUCAGGCACGAAAGCGUGGGGAGCAAACAGGAUUAGAUACCCUGGUAGUCCACGCCUUAAACGAUGUAUGCUUGGUGU
rnacentral:rRNA from 1 species